rnacentral:rRNA from 1 species
AGAGUUUGAUCAUGGCUCAGAUUGAACGCUGGCGGCAUGCCUUACACAUGCAAGUCGAACGGCAGCACGGGGGUAACCCUGGUGGCGAGUGGCGAACGGGUGAGUAAUACAUCGGAACGUGUCCUGGAGUGGGGGAUAGCUCGGCGAAAGCCGGAUUAAUACCGCAUACGCUCUGAGGAGGAAAGCGGGGGAUCUUCGGACCUCGCGCUCAAGGGGCGGCCGAUGGCGGAUUAGCUAGUUGGUGGGGUAAAGGCCUACCAAGGCGACGAUCCGUAGCUGGUCUGAGAGGACGACCAGCCACACUGGGACUGAGACACGGCCCAGACUCCUACGGGAGGCAGCAGUGGGGAAUUUUGGACAAUGGGGGAAACCCUGAUCCAGCAAUGCCGCGUGUGUGAAGAAGGCCUUCGGGUUGUAAAGCACUUUUGUUCGGGAAGAAAUCCUUCGAGCUAAUACCUUGAGGGGAUGACGGUACCGGAAGAAUAAGCACCGGCUAACUACGUGCCAGCAGCCGCGGUAAUACGUAGGGUGCGAGCGUUAAUCGGAAUUACUGGGCGUAAAGCGUGCGCAGGCGGUUCGCUAAGACCGAUGUGAAAUCCCCGGGCUUAACCUGGGAACUGCAUUGGUGACUGGCGGGCUAGAGUAUGGCAGAGGGGGGUAGAAUUCCACGUAGCAGUGAAAUGCGUAGAGAUGUGGAGGAAUACCGAUGGCGAAGGCAGCCCCCUGGGCCAAUACUGACGCUCAUGCACGAAAGCGUGGGGAGCAAACAGGAUUAGAUACCCUAGUAGUCC